rnacentral:rRNA from 1 species
UACGGGGGGAGCAAGCGUUGUUCGGAUUUACUGGGCGUAAAGGGCGCGUAGGCGGCCAGCACAAGUCAGUUGUGAAAUCUCCGAGCUUAACUCGGAAAGGUCAACUGAUACUGUGCGGCUAGAGUGCGGAAGGGGCAACUGGAAUUCUCGGUGUAGCAGUGAAAUGCGUAGAUAUCGAGAGGAACACCAGUGGCGAAGGCGGCUCGCUGGACCCCCACUGACGCUGAGGCGCGAAAGCCAGGGGAGCGAACGGG